rnacentral:lncRNA from 1 species
AAAUACUAAAGGUAAAUUAUGAUUAAUUAUGCCUUACAUAUUUAAACAUACAAGGUUUUAUGUUUUAUCGCCUCAACAAAAAAAAUGAAUGAUCCCCAAAAUGACAAUUAUACACCAAAGGAUGUAAAAAAAGACAAGUACUAAAUAACUAAUAACAUUAAAUGAAAAACAAUUAUCUCUGACAAGACCAACACAAUUUUAAAGUGCUAACAGUUUGUAAGAAGGCUUACUCCCUGCUGUGGCACAUAUACUAAUGAUUCAUGAUUGAACGAGAAGCUGGAAUACCAAUUUAAAUUUAAAGAAUUGAUCCAUUGGAGGAACACUGAUCUCCUUAAAGCACACAAACUUUCACAAGAUAACCAGGGCCUGUCAUUGCUUAAAGUGUUCAUCUAAGAUCUCUUACUAUAGAAGAAACUGGAGAAUGCAUGGAAGUACUGGAUUUUGGAAGUCAUUUUGAUUACAUGUAGAAAGAGGGAGGGCCAAUUUGCCGGGGAUUUUUUUCACAGAAGGGCCAAUUUCAAAAAGUGCCGACAGAAUAAAAUUUACUAUAAAAACAAAAAAUAAAAAUGCCUUUUGAUCAAUAUCUCGAUUUACAUAUAUUAUGAUAUGUGUGAUCAAUAGUUAAUUUAACCCUCAAAAAGGAUGAAAGUACGAUAUGC